rnacentral:rRNA from 1 species
GACGAACGCUGGCGGCGUGCUUAACACAUGCAAGUCGAACGGAAAGGCCCUGCUUUUGUGGGGUGCUCGAGUGGCGAACGGGUGAGUAACACGUGAGUAACCUGCCCUUGACUUUGGGAUAACUUCAGGAAACUGGGGCUAAUACCGGAUAGGAGCUCCUGCUGCAUGGUGGGGGUUGGAAAGUUUCGGCGGUUGGGGAUGGACUCGCGGCUUAUCAGCUUGUUGGUGGGGUAGUGGCUUACCAAGGCUUUGACGGGUAGCCGGCCUGAGAGGGUGACCGGCCACAGGGGGCGGGGGAUACGGCCCAGACUCCUGGGGGGGGGAGAGGGGGGAGUUUUGGCAAAAGGGGGGGAAGCAGGGAGCAGAAACGCCGGGGGGGGGAGGACGGCCUUGGGGGUGGAAGCCGCUUUCGCCUGUGACGAAGGGGGGGGGACGGUAAUGGGGAAAAAAGCACCGGGGAACUAGGG